GCUGCGGGGCGGGCAGGACAGGAGCCGGCACCGACACCGAGCGCCGCCCGCCCGCACCUCCCCCGCCGCCCCCGGCGCCCCCGGCCCCCCUCGCCGCUCCCCGGGGCGGGGCCGCGCCCUCUGAGUGGGGGAUGCCGGCCGCGCCCCGCGACCCCAGCCCCGGGCAGCCCCCUGCGCUCUGGGGGACCCCGGGCGGCAGUGGCCGGGCGCGCUGAGCUGGUGCUGAAGGGACAGCUCCCGGCCGAGCCCUGCAGCCCCGGGCGGCUCAUGGUCCCAGAAGCCGAAGCCGAAGCCCAGGCCCGGGCGGGGAUGCUGGGGAUGCCCCGCGAGUGAGGCCCCCGCUGCAGCCGCGUUCAUGGCGGUGGCCAGGAAGAUCCGAACUUUGCUGACGGUGAACAUCCUGGUGUUCGUGGGCAUCGUCCUGUUCUCCGUGUACUGCCGCCUGCAGGGCCGCUCCCAGGAGCUCGUGCGCAUCGUGAGCGGCGACCGCCGGGUGCGCAGCCGACACGCCAAGGUGGGCGCGCUGGGGGACCGCGAGGCCAUCCUGCAGCGCCUGGACCACCUGGAGGAGGUGGUCUACAACCAGCUCAACGGCCUCGCCAAGCCCAUCGGCCUGGUGGAGGGGCCAGGAGGCCUGGGCCAGGGCGGCUUGGCGGCCACCCUGCGUGAUGACGGCCAGGAGGCGGAAGGCAAGUAUGAGGAGUACGGCUACAACGCUCAGCUCAGUGACCGCAUCUCCCUGGAUCGGAGCAUCCCCGACUACCGGCCCAGAAAGUGCAGACACAUGAGCUACGCCCAGGACCUGCCCCAGGUCUCCGUGGUCUUCAUCUUCGUCAACGAGGCACUGUCGGUCAUCCUGCGCUCCGUGCACAGCGUGGUCAACCACACGCCCUCCCAGCUCCUCAAGGAGGUCAUCCUGGUGGACGACAACAGUGACAAUGUGGAGCUCAAGUUCAAUCUGGACCAGUAUGUCAACAAGCGGUACCCGGGCCUCGUGAAGAUCGUCCGCAAUAGCCGGCGGGAAGGACUGAUCCGCGCCCGGCUGCAGGGCUGGAAGGCGGCCACUGCCCCAGUCGUCGGCUUCUUCGAUGCCCACGUCGAGUUCAACACAGGCUGGGCGGAGCCCGCACUGUCUCGGAUCCGAGAGGACCGGCGUCGCAUCGUGCUGCCAGCCAUAGACAACAUCAAGUACAGCACGUUUGAGGUGCAGCAGUACGCCAACGCUGCCCACGGCUACAACUGGGGCCUCUGGUGCAUGUACAUCAUCCCCCCGCAGGACUGGCUGGACCGCGGCGACGAGUCAGCACCCAUCAGGACCCCGGCCAUGAUCGGCUGCUCCUUCGUGGUGGACCGCGAGUACUUCGGAGACAUUGGGCUGCUAGACCCUGGCAUGGAGGUGUACGGUGGCGAGAACGUAGAACUGGGCAUGAGGGUGUGGCAGUGUGGUGGCAGCAUGGAGGUGCUGCCCUGCUCCCGCGUGGCCCACAUCGAGCGCACCAGGAAGCCCUACAACAACGACAUCGACUACUAUGCCAAGCGCAACGCCCUGCGCGCCGCCGAGGUGUGGAUGGACGACUUCAAGUCCCACGUGUACAUGGCCUGGAACAUCCCCAUGACGAACCCAGGGGUGGACUUCGGGGACGUGUCUGAGAGGCUGGCCCUGCGCCAGAGGCUGAAGUGCCGCAGCUUCAAGUGGUACCUGGAGAACGUGUACCCGGAGAUGAGGAUCUACAACAACACCCUCACGUACGGAGAGGUGAGAAACAGCAAAGCCAGCGGCUACUGCCUGGACCAGGGAGCGGAGGACGGCGACCGGGCGAUCCUCUACCCCUGCCACGGGAUGUCCUCCCAGGGAGAGCCUGGGCUGGAGCACGGGCCAUGGCACCCCCGGGCCUGGAUGCUGCUCACACACAGCCCCGGUGGUCCUGUCCCCAGCUGGUGCGGUACAGCGCUGACGGCCUGCUGCAGCUGGGGCCUCUGGGCUCCACAGCCUUCUUGCCCGACUCCAAGUGUCUGGUGGAUGACGGCAGGGGCCGCACGCCCACCCUGAGGAAGUGUGAGGAUGUGGCAAGGCCCACACAGCGGCUGUGGGACUUCACCCAGAGCGGCCCCAUUGUGAGCCGGGCCACGGGCCGCUGCCUGGAGGUGGAGAUGUCCAAAGACGCCAACUUCGGGCUCCGGCUGGUGGUGCAGAGGUGCUCGGGGCAGAAGUGGAUGAUCAGAAACUGGAUCAAACAUGCACGGCACUGACCCCGCCUCUGCCUGGACCCCCACGGACCUCGGGAAGGCGCUGGGCCAAGCCAGUGUCGCUGAGUGGCCGGGGUAUGCCCAGCAGACACAGCAGGGCAGGGCUCUAUGUGCGGCCAGGACAGCAGAGGCCAAGGGGCCGGGGUGUGGCUGAGUGACCAGGGUGUCAGCCACUGCAGCUGGAGUACAGCUCCUCCUAGGACAGGCGGCUCUACCCAAGGGAGGGCGUCUGGGGACAGUGACGCCGACUCAAACACGUGCCUUCUCCACGGUAUCUCCUGGCCAGGCUGCUGGGACGGCCGCCACCUCUGCAUGUACCACAGCCCCUACGCCCCACAGGGUGGCCAAGCCCCAGACCACACGCCAGGCGGCGCCCCGGCGUCCUCCACCCACGGCCUCCCAUGCUCCAAGCAGCCUCCCCCAGCCCUUGCAACCGCUCAGCCCUCCACCCAAGACCUAAGUUCACACCUCACAACACAGCUCCUCAUGGUCUGGUAAGAGGGGUGCUGGGGGACAUGGAUGGUGACAAACCUGCAGCUGUGUCUAGGAGGCUGGUGCGACUGCCUCAGCAGAGACCAAAUAAAGAGGAUUAGGCAGCA